rnacentral:tRNA from 1 species
ACUGCCUUGCGGCACGCGCCCUCGAUGAACGCUAUCUGCAGCCGGACAAUGAUUAGAAAGACCAGCUUGCUUCGUAAGAUCGUUCCGAUAGCGAGGCGGUCAAGCUUCGCUAAAAGGAUCAUUUACAACUCGCUUGUCUCUCCAGAAGCAGCCUUGUGAGCUGCCCUUGAAAGACGCACGAGCGCCGAAAUGAUCCGGAGAUAAUGAAGUCUCGCGUAGCAAUUGCUUGCUGCACGAUCCAACUCGGAUCGAUCUCCUCUUUACGAUGUCAGAAAUCACGCAACUUGCUGUCUAUCCAGACUAGCAAGAUGCGAAGUGAUGUUUCGCGGACGAUUUAGGUGCACGAUCAGUCGAUGAUCAAACCAUCUGGUGGAGCCAGACGGGAUCGAACCGACGACCUCAUGCUUGCAAAGCACGCGCUCUCCCAGCUGAGCUAUGGCCCCGUAACCAGAAGACGAAUGCUCACUCGAUGAAAGUGGUGGGCCUGGGAAGACUUGAACUUCCGACCUCACGCUUAUCAAGCGCGCGCUCUAACCAACUGAGCUACAAGCCCCUAACGCAUAUCCAGUCAAGGACCAGGGACUCUGCAAACUUGCAGCCCCAGCGCGUGUUCGUCCGCGAAGAAAGAGAAACGAAGACGGCGAAAUCCCGCCAAUGCAGCUCAACAAUCCUGACGAUUGUUGGCCACUGAUGUUUCUAAAACGAUCCGAUAGUGAGCCGAAGCUCGCUGAAGGAUCAUCCUUAGAAAGGAGGUGAUCCAGCC